AGAGAGCAACCGUUGUGGUAAUCAAUACAAACAGAAUUGUGCAGUUAUGAUAAUAACUCCAGGACAGAAAUUCUGAAUUCUAAAUGAUGAUUUCAUAGAAACACCAUGGAAGCAUUUCAAAUGGUAUGGGUCAAUGAAAUGCAAAAACUAACUCUCUUGGCACAUUCAGCUGCUAUUAAAAAAUACCUUAGAUGGGUAGUUCAUAAGCAUAAACGUAUUUCUCACAGUUCUGGAGAGUGCGAAGUUCAAGACCAAGUAUCGGGAGAACCCACUCCUGAUGGUUACAUACAAGAAAGAUUGGAGACCUGUGUGCCUGGCAAUUGCCUUGUUGAAAGGAAGCCCUCAGCAAAAGUUGGUUGAUGAUUCAUUCUUCACCCUGCCCUCUGCCUCAGGAAGAUCAUCUUUUUGGACUCUAUCAUUUAACUCAUGUGCCCUCUGGCUUCCUGUAGGAUGUGGCCAACAAGGAGUCCCAGCAAGAGAAGGAAGAAGACAGGAAAGUGAGGUCAGAGUAUUCUUUUCCCCGGCUCCCUCUCUAGUUUGUCUUGGACUGAGUGUUUCACUUGACUAACCGGUAUGUUCCUCUUCUUCGAGGUUCUAGUCAUCUCUCCCUCAUCUUAUCCCUUCAGUCUUCAGGUUCUUGCAAUUUACAUGUGGUUCUUCUAUAACUCAACUUCUUCCUUGCUAAUAAACCCCCUUUGAAUGAUUUUAUCUUAGUUUAAGAGUACAAUCUCUUUCCUAUUGGUACCCUGACUAAUACAAUCUUCCCUGGACUUAGAUGUUUACAGUGAAUUAUCUCCAUGGACUCGCUCUUUCUCUUUUUGAUUUGGCUAUGUUGACGUCUGCUUCUUCAUAGCACUUUUUUCAAGCGUCUCAAUCUAACACCACUUACCUCUCCCUCAGGAAAACUCUAUCCCAUUCCAUAGGAGAGGGUUUUACUGCUUUAUUCCUUCUGCUGACUUAACAAAAUCACAUGAGGACUUCAGGACAAACAAGGCUUAGGAAACUGUGCCAUGUACUAUGGGAGCUCAAAGGAGAAUUUCUGAACCUAAGCCAAGCAAGAGGAUAAUGAGAAAAGUUUUGGAAGCAGUUCUACCUAAACUGAGUUUGGAUAGACAAGUAGGCAAUAGCCAGAAGUCAGCCAGGAUGGAGAGGGGGAGGAUGUCCCAGGGAGACGGGACAGCAUUCUCAGAAGCCUAUGAAAAAGAGGAAUUCAGUGUGUCUGAAGAACAGAGUAAACAUCUUUGCAGGAUGGGGCGCAGAAGGAAUAUCAUAGUUGAUGUGGUCACUGUAUUUAUAACUCCACCCAACUCAAGCCCCCUCAUGUUCAACAGCUGAUCUUUGUACUGUUUAACCAACAAAAUACAACUGUGAAUCAUCUCCAUUUUCUGCUCACACUCACAAAGUCAUCUAUGUUUUUACUCAUCCUUCCUUUCUUCCCUCUUAUUCAAAGCUAUCACCUUCACCCAUGUCUCAAUUUUAGAAGGAAAGGUAGAAAGAGGGAGACUAGUCAAGGGCUGU